AGAGUGAACGCUGGCGGUAGGCCUAACACAUGCAAGUCGAACGGCAGCACAGUGGUAGCAAUACCAUGGGUGGCGAGUGGCGGACGGGUGAGUAAUGCCUAGGAAUCUGCCUGAUAGUGGGGGAUAACGUUCGGAAACGGACGCUAAUACCGCAUACGUCCUACGGGAGAAAGUGGGGGAUCUUCGGACCUCACGCUAUCAGAUGAGCCUAGGUCGGAUUAGCUAGUUGGUAGGGUAAAGCCUACCAAGGCUACGAUCCGUAACUGGUCUGAGAGGAUGAUCAGUCACACUGGAACUGAGACACGGUCCAGACCUACCUACGGGAGCAGCAGGUGGGAAUAUGGAACAAGUGGGACGAAAGCCUAGAUCCAGCCAUCGGCCGCGGUGUGGUGAAGAAGGUUCCUUCGGAUUAGUAAAGCUAGUUUUAAGGUGGGAGAAGG
rnacentral:rRNA from 1 species